rnacentral:rRNA from 1 species
UACGGGGGGGGCAAGCGUUGUUCGGAAUUACUGGGCGUAAAGGGCUCGUAGGCGGCCAACUAAGUCAGACGUGAAAUCCCUCGGCUUAACCGGGGAACUGCAUCUGAUACUGGAUGGCUUGAGUUCGGGAGAGGGAUGCGGAAUUCCAGGUGUAGCGGUGAAAUGCGUAGAUAUCUGGAGGAACACCGGUGGCGAAGGCGGCAUCCUGGGCCGGUAUUGACGCUGAGGAGCGAAAGCCAGGGGAGCAAACGGG